GACGAACCGUGCGAACGUUAUUCGGAAUCACUGGGCUUAAAGCGCGUGUAGGCGGGAGGGCACGUCCGUUGCUGAAAUCCCCCGGCUCAACCGGGGAACGGGCGCGGAUACGACUCUCCUUGAGGGGCGUAGGGGGACCUGGAACUUCCGGUGGAGCGGUGAAAUGCGUUGAGAUUGGAAGGAACGCCCGUGGCGAAAGCGAGGUCCUGGACGCCUACGUGACGCUGAGACGCGAAA
rnacentral:rRNA from 1 species